UCAGGGGAAAACCGGCUGUUUCUGUCUCCUGGGGGGAGUUGAAGGAAUUCUUCUGGCGCUGCAACUGUUCUUAAGCUGUUUGCAAGGUGAAUCUAUUUUAGGAAGGAGAAUACAUUUGCUUUAAUGCAAAACUAUUUAUAGUCCCCAAAAAAACCAUUUCUUUUACUUGCACAGUUCUGAAUUUUCACUGACAAAGUGUCAACAGCUCCAUCUAUACCAAAGCCUUCAUGUUUGUAGUAGAGAUGGAGCAGCAGGGGGAGAAAGUAAUCAGGAGACUUUAAUUACUUUAUCACACUAAUGAAUGACCAACUUUAAUGAACUGGCUUCUGUUUUGUGAGAAGUCCUUGCUGACCUGACUUGUCAGGUAGCUCCGCUAUCCUGGUGCAAGCUUUGAAAUUAAUUUAAUUCAGGACAACUUAUUUUUGCUCUGCAAGCAUCCUUGUGAGGUACUUGGAGGGGUUGCAGGAAGCAUCUUUCCCGAGCUCCUGGUCCCUGGGAUGUCCAUUGAUGGAGCAAAUCCCUCUUCAGAAUAGCAUCACCUCACAAAAAAAAAAAAAAAAAAAAAAAAAAAAAAAAAAAGGCAUGUUUCCCACAGUUAUCUUUCCUGUCUCAGGCUGUGCUAAGGCAGGAAGAGAUUGUUUGUAGCAGGGUGCCGGCUCCGGGAGGAUUUUCCUGCAAGGCUGUGCUCUGAGCACUGCCAGCUGGGGCAAGCACUCGCCGGGGCUGAACCGCUUGGGUGCAGGCUCGCCUCUCCCGGCACCACGCUGCUCACAAGAUAAGUUAAAAACACACAGCCCUGUCAUUAUCUGAAAGCAUCUGGUUGUCUGAAUGAGUAAAAGAAAUAGCUGCAUUCCUAAGUGCACGGAGAAAUUUUGUAAGUGAAUUCUUCUGCGCUCAACCCUUUUAUGUGACUGUCUCCUGCUACUUUCAUCUAUAAUUUCAAUUUUUUUUUUAAGUGAGCAGAAAAAAGGCUGUCAAUGCACAACAGGUCCCAACACAAUUUCAGUGCCAGGGGAACUGUCUGAUAAGGUCCCAUAAGCACACAGGGGUGUGAUUUGCUCCAUACCUAAGACUAGUCCCAAGUUUAUCAUUGCAGGUUCUGCUGAGUUGCAGGUUUGCUAUGAUAGGAGCUGCAGCUGUGUUAAACAUACAGGGCACUUCAUUUUACUAAAAUCCCCCAUGGUUAAGCUCUUCACUGCUCAGACAAGAAGCCCAGCAGAAAGAUGAACAAUCUCAGUCCUGCUGUGGCAGCAUUUGAAUGCAGGCAUUGGAAGCAGAUUCUCUUGGAAACAAACAGGACCCUCUAGGAAAAGGCCUGGUGUGUCAGUGAAGCCCCAGUAAGAAUUGUUUUGACGGGGUGGGAAUUGCUCCCCUGAUAAGGCUGCACUGGGAACCCAAAGGCACAGGUGUCUCCACAGCAGCCUGUUGAGACACUGUUCAGAUGAACAAGCUGACGAGAAACCCUCUGCUGUGAUAAACCCCUCCGACUGUAGAGUGAAACGUGCUGUGCAAGUGCUCCCAGGUUACCCAGCUCACCACCAGCCACAUAAAUAUGGUGGGCUUUAGCGCUGAUGUGCUCCCCAGGUGUUCAGCUGCGUAAGGAAUGCAUCACUUUGUGGCAGCAUCCAGAGGAGAUGUGAGGAUCAGGUCCCUUUGUGCCCAGCAUGGCACAAACAUCUGUUCACCCAGAGCAGCCUGUGGGCCAACUGGAGCCUGCUGGCUCCAGGCAAGCAAGGCAUCUUGUCCAAAGCCUGGUGUCAGAGUGAAGCCAGGUGAACCUGCUUCUCAGGGUGCCCAUUUCUCCCCCAAGGAUGAACAAGGAGGCUCACAAAAUGCAUCUAAGGGACCAUGAAAUGUGAAAGGGCUAAACUUAUUCUUCUGUGGUGGUUUACAGUAUCAUGACUACUUUGAUGUUUCUUAGUCUAUUAUUUCUAGCUGGGUCUUUUCAAUUGCAACAUUUUGUUGACAGCCCCUAAAUCUAUCUUAACAAUUGACAAGUGGAGUGAAAACUGUGUUAAGGUUUGCGGUCAAUUAAUACAAACCUGCUAGGAAACAAGGGCUGGAAGCAAUGUAGUUUCUUUCCUUUUUCUUCAAGACUUAAAUGUUUGUGCUUACUCCAAAAUCAUAAGCCCUUUGCAAAGGGAUUACUUCAUUCUGUAUCUCCACAGUGCUGGUGCAAGGGGACUCCUAGCUGAUUGGUGCAAAUGAUAAAUGACAGGCAUCACACUCUGGUGUCAUUAUGCACAUUGACAUCCUUCACACAGGCCAGGUCUUCAAUCAGUGCCAGCACAAAUAACUUCAUUAAAGUCAAUUGCUGCAGGACCUCCAUUUUCACUCCUUCCACCCUAGGGAGUGCUCAGGGAUGUAGUGGGAUUCAGCCCACACAGGAGGAUCUGUGGCUAGUGAUCAUGUAUGUGUGUCAGAGAUGUGGCAUUGCAGAAAUCACUCAGUAAGCAGCAGAGGACAGAGGAGACCUGGUAUCCUCCAGGGAAGGUUGCACUGGCUUCUGCCGUCUCAGACUCACAGCCAGAACAAGGGGGCACUCCUGUAAAGUUGUGCCAGAAUGCUGUCAUCAUCGUCACAGCCUGGACCUCUGACAAUGACCAGAGCCUUCACUUGCCUCUUCUUUUAGGAGGUUCUCUACCAGAGGUUGGUAGAGAAGCAUACACUUAGAGAGCAAGCUAUGUAUUUCUUACCACUGAAAGGCUCAUUAAUUGGGAAGGCUGAUGAACAUUUCUGUGUUUCUUAAAGGGCAAGAUGGUAAAAGUGUCAGUACAGACACCUCUAUUGAUCUUCUGCUAUUUUCCCUGCACUCAGCCGGCUGACAUGGCUGAUUCUAAGAAAGAAAGACAAUUUUGCAACUGUCCACCUCUGUUUUGUCAUUUUGGCAGGAGUAUGAAUGGGAGGGGGUGUUUGUUUCAGAGCCUUUGUCCUUCUUGCCACUUUCUGCUCUUUGUCCUCCUACAAAGCUUUCCCAGACAUAGCAGCGUCUCACAGCACAGUGCUAUGCUGGGAUCAAAAUUCACUUGUCAAGCAGAGAAAACCACUUACCACACUUCUAUAGGUCACCUUCGUCCUCAAUCAUAUUAUAUCUAUUUCUUUGUAACCUGCCUUCUUUCAAGCAUGUGGUCAACAUAACAUCUUCUCUUGGAGAGGCACAGCUGGGCAACAGAGCUCUAUAUCCAAGUGGCUGCUCCCUCCAAAGCCACACCAAUUAAAGGAGCAGCACUAAUGCUGCUGGCUACAGGUCCCAGCAUGCAGGGAAAGUUUGAAGGUUCUCCACUUGUGUGGAAGAAAUGGGCAGGGUUUUCUGAUCCCACAGAGAUGAGGCUCAGUGAAUUCCUGUCCAUUUGCCCCCUGUCAAUAACAAUUCUCCCCAGCACUGCAAACUGCAAACAAGGUGAAGCUGGGGGAGUAUCCUCAGUCCUUAGCAUCAGUCCCUGUCCCAAUAGCCAGCCUCACAUGGCAAGGGACAGAAAUGCAACCACAUUCCUGACAGGUGCUGAUGCUUCAUGAGAUGCUGCAUAUGGCUUAGUAAAACAGAUCUUCUUCAUUCAAGGAGUUACUAGCUUUUUACACACAAUUUUUAACUCUUUGGGGAGUGUGAAAACUGUUCUUUAAAAUAAUAAAAAGUUGUGUAUAUAUUACUCUUGUAAAAAACACCAAUCUCCACCUCUGUAGGACUUCAAGGAGCUUGUUGAAUUACCAAAAAAAAAAAA
ensembl:lncRNA